rnacentral:rRNA from 1 species
UACGUAGGCAGCGAGCGUUGUUCGGAGUUACUGGGCGUAAAGAGUGCGUAGGCGGUUUUCUAAGUUUGGUGUGAAAUCUCCGAGCUUAACUCGGAAAGGUCAACUGAUACUGUGCGGCUAGAGUGCGGAAGGGGCAACUGGAAUUCUUGGUGUAGCGGUGAAAUGCGUAGAUAUCAAGAGGAACACCUGCGGCGAAGGCGGGUUGCUGGGCCGACACUGACGCUGAGGCGCGAAAGCCAGGGGAGCGAACGGG